CUCGAGACACACUCGUUCUAGCUAGUAGCGCCGCAGAGGAAAAUUAGCAACUUUGGCAGCCCUGACACACUGAACAAUACGGUUAUGGAGUUUCCACAUUAAAAUCAAUGGAGUACCGACCCUAGCGCCAGUGGCCCCCAGGUAAAUUGAGUUUGAGACCCCUGUUCUACGGAGUAAUGUGCCAGGGCUUCUAGCAGCCGGGAAAUGUACUUAUGUAGAAGGAUUUGGGUUCUAAUAAUGCUUUGUAUAAUGAAGUGGAUCAUGUCGGUGAAGGUCCAGCGCUCGAGGCUUGGGACAGUGCACCCCUGGCAGCCGGUGGAGGAGAGUGUUUUGUGUCCUGG